UUGAAUCACCGGAAGCUUGUAGGCUUUACGUCAUGAUUACUCUAUGAAGGUGAUUAUUAGCACUUGUUUUGUUCUGAAGCAAACAUAUCUCAUGCAUUCACAUUUGUAAGAAUGUCAUGAUUACCUGGCUAUUCAAGAUGUUUAUGCCUAGAGAUUAGCAUAGCAGCACUCUGGAUUUUGGAAGGUUAUAUCGUUCCCCGUUGAUGCAGUGACAGAUACAUAUGGAACAUUUCUACCUGAUGGAACAGCUUUCCAGUUUCAGCAGAUUCUGAGCUUAAGUGUUUUAGAGGUGCCAAAAUGGGAUUCCCGAAUCACCUCUUGCGACACAAGCAGUCCAGGUGGUGACAGCAACGGUGCCGCAUCCGAAAGCCAGUACACCAAAGAAGAUGUUCUUACCAGAGCCUAGAAAAGACGCAAUAUCUUCAUGCAGCUUUAAAUGAACAGUUCCAAUGGUAU
rnacentral:lncRNA from 1 species